GAAACCUAUAAAAUCCUCCUAAAUCAGACAGAACAGCACAUCGACCCAGGAAGAAUGGAGGAAGAAAUCUGAAUGGCAGGAUUAGGAUGGCUUGGAGCAGGAACAGCGGCUGGUACUGGAAGUAUGGUAGCGUGGAUGAUAUCAAGCAUCUGUAAUGUAACUGUAAAAGUGCAAGACAGUCCAUAGCACAGAGAAGGAAUAUAUUUUUCAUCUCCAGUAGAGUUAAAGUCAUGUUGCUCUUAUCUAAUAUGUUUUAAAGAGUAGAUUCUGAAAUUCAAACAUGUAUAAUCUGAGUAUGAAUGAAUUUUUUAUUUUUAUUUUUGCUGUGAACAUGUCUUGGUAAAGGUCAUUGGGAUGUGUGGAUAAUGCUGCUGGCAUUUUUUAAAUUUUGAGGAAAUGCUAUUUCUACUCAUUCUGAGAGCGGAAUAAAAAAAAAACUUUGUA